rnacentral:rRNA from 1 species
AAGCGUGCGCAGGCGGUUAUGUAAGACAGAUGUGAAAUCCCCGGGCUCAACCUGGGAACUGCAUUUGUGACUGCAUGGCUAGAGUACGGUAGAGGGGGAUGGAAUUCCGCGUGUAGCAGUGAAAUGCGUAGAUAUGCGGAGGAACACCGAUGGCGAAGGCAAUCCCCCUGGACCUGUACUGACGCUCAUGCACGAAAGCGUGGGGAGCAAACAGGAUUAGAUACCCCAGU